GAUGAACGCUAGCUACAGGCUUAACACAUGCAAGUCGAGGGGCAUCAGGAAGAAAGCUUGCUUUCUUUGCUGGCGACCGGCGCACGGGUGAGUAACACGUAUCCAACCUGCCCUUUACUCGGGGAUAGCCUUUCGAAAGAAAGAUUAAUACCCGAUAGCAUAAUGAUUCCGCAUGGUUUCAUUAUUAAAGGAUUCCGGUAGAGGAUGGGGAUGCGUUCCAUUAGGUUGUUGGUGAGGUAACGGCUCACCAAGCCUUCGAUGGAUAGGGGUUCUGAGAGGAAGGUCCCCCACAUUGGAACUGAGACACGGGUCCAA
rnacentral:rRNA from 1 species